GUACUUUCAGCGGGGAGCGCAAUGUGUGUUGUGGUUAAUAACCGCAGCAAUUGACGUUACCCGCAGAAGAAGCACCGGCUAACUCCGUGCCAGCAGCCGCGGUAAUACGGAGGGUGCAAGCGUUAAUCGGAAUUACUGGGCGUAAAGCGCACGCAGGCGGUCUGUCAAGUCGGAUGUGAAAUCCCCGGGCUCAACCUGGGAACUGCAUUCGAAACUGGCAGGCUGGAGUCUUGUAGAGGGGGGUAGAAUUCCAGGUGUAGCGGUGAAAUGCGUAGAGAUCUGGAGGAAUACCGGUGGCGAA
rnacentral:rRNA from 1 species